CUUGGUCAUUUAGAGGAAGUUUAGGGGUUUCACGUCUCCGUUGGUGAACCAGCGGAGGGAUCUA
rnacentral:rRNA from 1 species